AGCUGGGAUUACAGUAGAGACGGGGUUUCACCAUUUUGGCCAGGCUGGUCUUGAACUCCUCACCUUGUGAUCCCCACGCCUCAGCCUCCCAAAGUGCUGGGAUUACAGGCGUGAGCCACCGCGCCUGGUGAGCCCUCUUAUUUUUAUAACAUGCUUCCUAUGUGUUGAUUUUGUUUUCCCUAUUGGGGUAAAUUUUUGAAGGCAGGAGGCAUCUCUUAUAUCCUGUAGUGAUGAGCAUAAUACGAGUUCAAUAAAUACACAUUUGGCAAAGAUGAGAGAGGUGGAGAGAGAAAGAGGUUCCUCUGCUGAAGAAGUGUGAUUACUUUUGGGUUUUGUCUACCUCAUGUGGUACCCAUUUCUAGCAGGGAAUUUCUUCCACUUGCAGACCAAGUGUGUUGGGGACUUGAGAUGCGUACAUGAGUGUUUGUGAUGUUUCCUGCCGAAAGCACAGGUGAGACGUGGUCUUGUAACACAGUGGUUAAGAAUGUGACUUUGGAGCCAGCCUGCUAGGGGCUGAAUUCUGACUCAGCCAUUUACUAACUGUGUGACCUUAGUUCCCUGAGCACAUGCUGUUGAGUAAUCCUGCCUGGACCAGUCCUUCCCUCACCCUAGACUUCACCUUCAGUUCCCCUUUAUACCACCUGCUGAAGCUGCCAGCCAGCCUUUUCGACCACCCUCCCUCCCCCAGGGGUGUUUGGCUUCUCAGACCCCAGCCUGAGCUAGUGCCCUUGGCUUCC
rnacentral:antisense_RNA from 1 species